CCCUUAGAUGGUCUGGGCGGCACGCGCGCUACAAUGAUGCAUUGAAAAAGUCUUCUGACCUUAGAAGGUUGGGUAUUCUCCAAAGUGUAUCGUGAUGGGAAUAGUUUAUUGCAAUUUUUAAUCUUGAACGAGGAAUUCCUAUUAAGUACAGGUCAUCAACUUGUGUUGAUUACGUCCCUGCCCUUUGUACACACCGCCCGUCGCUCCUACUGAUUGAGUGUCUCGGUGAAUUCUUUGAUCUUCUGUCGAUUCAGUUCACUGAUCCGACGGUGGAAAGUUGAAUGAACUUCGUCACUUAGAGGAAGGAGAAGUCGUAACA
rnacentral:rRNA from 1 species